GGCAGCAGUCAGCUCAGGACUAAUCUUCCUCAAAAUAAAUAAAUAAAUAAAAUCUAAUGAAAAUGUUUAAAUGGUACCGUUAGCUUGGAGAUAAAUUCACUUCCUCAAAAUAUCCUAAAAAUGAGCAAUCCUGAAAACAGAAGUUUCAUAUUCAUGACAAAGAAUGAUCUAAAAGAGCUCUGAAAAUGUUUUGCAAAUAGAUCCGAACCAGUCAGUCAUUCAGGCUGAGAGGUAAAAUCUGUUCUAGUCUUUAGCUUCACUAUAUUCUAAAACAAAAGAAAAAAAAGACAAGAAUUGAUGCCAACUGUGCUUCAAGAAUGUGGUAAAUACUAACUAAAUGAAAACAAUGUUUAACAGCUGUUCAGGGGGUAACAGCUUUCUCUUCUAAGGUGAAGCUGAGUUAAAAGUCGAAGUUUCUCAUUGUUUUUAGAAAUGUUCCAUUCCUCUCACUUAACAUUUUAAAAUAUUAAUAAUAGGUGACCAUGUCCAAAAUAAACACAGUAACUACAACAAUCACAUAUUAAAACUAACACUAAGUGCUUUGGUUUCAAUUUACGAAGUACGAACAAAAUAGGGGUCAACAAUAACAAAUUAAUUAUGGGGAAUCAGAGAAAAGUUUACCCUUUUGUUACUAUUUUUCUUUAGUUUUUUCUUUCCUUUCUUUUUCCCUUUUUCUUCUUUUCUUCUUCAUCUUCUUCUUUUUACUGAAUAAAGUCAAAGUGGCAGAACAAGCUUUCCUAGAAACGGAUUCCAGGAGAACUCCUUCUGUUCGACAUCAUAAUGGGCCACCACUUUCCACUGAGAAGGUUUUCUUUCUGAAAGUUCCUCUUCCACUUUCCUGCUGGCUCUCUGCCAGCUAGCAUUGCUAAAGGAAAGGAGAUGAAGGAUUAAAGUCUCCAACCUUCCCCUAAGCAAUAAUUGGCUUCCUGCCCAGGAUUAAACACAGAAGGCCCAGAGAAGCACCAGAAGUUCCACCAUAAGCUUCCGGGAUCAGCUGACAACCACAGGGUCCUCUGGGAAGUCAGAACUCUGUAUAAUUGCCUGAAACUCCUCCAGGCCCAGCCAGGCUUGAUUUCAGUGACUAAGUGGUUCAUUUGCUCAAUCUGUCUGAGAGCUUACCAGGGGAAAACAGGUUUUUCAUCACUUGUAAAGUGAGAAAUGUUACAUUUUUUCAAAAAUGUAAUCAGACUUUAUUCAGUCUCCGUGAAAAGUAUAGAAGACAGCACAUGUUUUCUGUUUAAACAUUAAUAAAAAGAAUAGCAAACAUUACCUCA